rnacentral:lncRNA from 1 species
CUGGGCCCCACGCACAUCCUGUUCCUUGCUCUCCGCGGUCUUCUCCUACGACUUCACACUUACUGCGUGCAAGGGCGAACACGGAAUGGCUGGCCAACCCCUAUCCCAACCUCCACGUUCUCCGCUUCCCCUACAAUAAUAGCAAGCACUAGACUUACGCAAAAGAACUAAGCACUACACCCACAACAAUACACAUAUCUAACAAAAUAAAACAGUAAUCUAGGCCCCACCUCUUCCCUCCUCAUUGUCCUUGUCCCUUUAACAUUGCGCUUCUUUAUUAUUAAUGGAUAUAGAAUAUACUCCAAAAUGAAGUUAAUUUAGGAGCAUACUUUCCCUUGUCAAUCUUUGACCACAGACCAGAGAUAUCGAUUAAUUAAUACCACAAGAAUAGUAUCAGCAGCAUCAGAAUCAGGAAAGAGGGAAAGCAAUUCAUCCUUUGACCCCUUCUAAAUCUCCC